rnacentral:tRNA from 1 species
GGCGCCGUAGCUCAGAGGCAGAGCAAGGGACUCAUAAGCCCUGGGUCGGUGGUUCGAGUCCACCCGGCGCCA